UACGAAGGGGGCUAGCGUUGCUCGGAAUCACUGGGCGUAAAGGGUGCGUAGGCGGGUCUUUAAGUCAGGGGUGAAAUCCUGGAGCUCAACUCCAGAACUGCCUUUGAUACUGAGAUCUUGAGUUCGGGAGAGGUGAGUGGAACUGCGAGUGUAGAGGUGAAAUUCGUAGAUAUUCGCAAGAACACCAGUGGCGAAGGCGGCUCACUGGCCCGGUAUACGACGCUGAGGCACGAAAGCGUGGGGAGCAAACAGG
rnacentral:rRNA from 1 species